AGCCCUGGAAGCUGGUUUCCACCAGGAGGGGCCACUGUGCCUUUCCCAUUAUUGCCUGAGCUCUGGCACUGCUCCACACCAUGCAGGAGAGGGACGGCUAAAGAAGGAUGGGCAGAGUGAAAUUCCACCCAAAGCGGUUUUAUUCAGCCGUCCCCACAUUCUCCUAAAACCUCUCCCUGCCUCACUUCUGCUAAGCCCUGUUGGAGAACCAGAGCAGAGAUGACUCAAUCCCAGCGGAGCACUUACCGAUGGUUGGCACCAAGAGAACAUCUGGUGUGGGCAGUGGCUGGAGCUCAGCAUCCUAGCAAGGUACUUUCUGGAAGGAAGGAACACCUGAGAUCUCUCAUCCCUGAGAAUAACUCCCCGUGCAUUAGCACCACCAAACUACUGAGGAAUUCCAGGCCACAUGUGACCUCUGGCUCUGCAAGGAUCAGCCUCACUGGAGCUCCUCCGUGUGACAUGUGAAGCUCCCGUGUCGCAACAGCCCUGCUACCAGCUCCUGGGGCCUGAGCCGUGGCUGCGGUGGAGCUGGAGCCGUGGCAGAGUCUGCAGGAGGACGGGUAGGUCACGCACCACAGCGAGCUGCAGUGGAGCCAGGUGCCACAUGGGAGAAGGUCAAUAAAGCAGCAAACGAUCCAGCGCUUCCAAAGAAAAGCAGCCUCCUGUCACAGCUGACAGCAACGGGGAAGAGGUUCAAGCAGAUAUAACCUGGAAGUCAAACAACUCUUCAGGGGUCAUUUGCUCAGGAUGAGAACCCCGCUACUCAGGACCAGUAGAGUCAAGGUUAAAGUAUCUGCUGGUAAAUCACUUGGCAAGGAGCUGACCAGAAAACUGAAGUUUUCAGAGCAGCUGAAGGAACUCAGCAAGCUGUUACCUCCAGCCACUCCAAGCAUCCAAGGAUCUCACAGGAGGAAUGCAGAUGCUUAAUUCUUCACAGCUCUCAGAAGGAUGCUGAAUGAACAGCAUAAUCCUCAGCCAGGACCACAAGCCUGGACUUCAUGCCCUGCAAGUCAGCACAUCUCAAACCCCACCAUGGACACCAGGCAGUGGCUCUCUCAUGGACAACACCAAGGAUGCCAAGUGGCCACACAGAAGAGAGGGCGGAAGGGGGUCCCGUUCCCAGCCAGAGGAGGCUGCAGCACUCACCGGUCUGUCUGGAGAACGUGGAUGAGGUGUUCCAUGGCCUGUAUGCCGACCUCCAACCGGUAUUUCUGUUCGGAGAAAACCAGAUUUGUCAGCGGUCGAAGCCCGAACACCAAACAAAGCUUCUUUAGUAGUACACGGCAAAGGUACUUCAAAUCCAUGCGGCUCCUCGGAAGUUGGCACUUACCUUGGAUAACGACUUGAGAGCACGAACGGCGUCCCUCCGGUCAUCCAGCAACGUGGACGAAGCCACCCGGUCACAGAGCUUCUGGAUCUGGAAAGACGCUGACUUUCCCCACAUUGGACGCUACCACAGCACUUCCUGGAUUCCUGCUGAAGAGCAGCAGCCAAGAACCAUCACUCAAAACCCUUCAGGCACUGCAUCCACAGACCAGAUCCCAGUCUGAUGCUGCUCUC